rnacentral:rRNA from 1 species
CUAGGCUUGACAGUCAGAGAAAACUGGUAGAGAUAUCAGGUUCCGAAAGGAGCUCUGAAACAGGUGGUGCAUGGCUGUCGUCAGCUCGUGUCGUGAGAUGUUGGGUUAAGUCCCGCAACGAGCGCAACCCUCGUCGUAUGUUGCCAGCAUUAAGUUGGGGACUCAUACGAGACUGCCGGGGUCAACUCGGAGGAAGGUGGGGAUGACGUCAAGUCAUCAUGCCCCUUAUGCCUAGGGCUGCACGCAUGCUACAAUGGCUGGUACAAAGGGCUGCAAUACCGUGAGGUGGAGCGAAUCCCAAAAAGCCAGUCUCAGUUCGGAUUGGGGUCUGCAACUCGACCCCAUGAAGUCGGAGUCGCUAGUAAUCGCAGAUCAGCAAC